rnacentral:tRNA from 1 species
GCUCCAGUGGCGCAGUCGGUUAGCGCGCGGUCCUUAUAAUGCCGAGGUUGUGAGUUCGAGCCUCACCUGGAGCG